GGGGCGGAGGCGGCCGGGCCGUUUCCAUGGCGACGCGCGGCGGGCGGAGCCUGAGCGGGGCCGCGGCGGAGGCGGCGGAGCCCCGGGGGCAGCCGGGGGAGCCGGAGCUGCGGAGGCUGCGGCGGGUGCUGGAGGCCCGGCAGCGGCACCUGCGCGCCCGCAUCGCCGCCUGCGAGCAGCUGACGGCGGAGAUGGCCGCUCUCCGCGCCGCCCUGGGCGCUGCCGCCCGCCCGCCCGGCCCGGGCACGGCCACGGCCACGGGGAGCUCCGGGCCCGGCCCCGGGCCCGCGGCGCCCUGAGGAGCCGCGGCGGGGGGCGGCACAGAGCCGGGAGGGACCGGAGGCCUCGGCUCCGCUGCGGCCCCGGGAGCGCCUGACCGGCCAGUGCCGGGGGAAAACCAAAGACGGACGAGCCAGCACGUGCCGCUCAGUUGCGGCCUCGGACUCUGCUCUCUCUUGCUGCACUGAUACUUUAUCUUACAAAAUUCACACUUUAAAAUAAAGCAAUAUUUGGCUUGGUCUGUA